rnacentral:rRNA from 1 species
AGCGAACGCUGGCGGCAGGCCUAACACAUGCAAGUCGAACGAACUCUUCGGAGUUAGUGGCGGACGGGUGAGUAACACGUGGGAACGUGCCUUUUGGUUCGGAAUAACUCAGGGAAACUUGUGCUAAUACCGAAUGUGCCCUUCGGGGGAAAGAUUUAUCGCCAUUAGAGCGGCCCGCGUCUGAUUAGCUAGUUGGUGAGGUAACGGCUCACCAAGGCGACGAUCAGUAGCUGGUCUGAGAGGAUGACCAGCCACACUGGGACUGAGACACGGCCCAGACCCCUCGGGGGGGCAGAAGGGGGGAAUCUUGCGAAAUGGGGGAAAGCCUGACGCAGCCAGGCCGGGUAAAUGAUGAAGGUCUUAGGUUUGAAAAAUUCUUUCCCCGGGGAAGAUAAUGGCGGAACCCGGAGAAGAAGCCCCGGCUAACUUCG